GCUGAGGCCCCAGGGUGGGACCGCGGCCUAUCAGGUAGUAGGUGGGGUAACGGCCCACCUAGCCUACGACGGGUACGGGCCCUGAGAGGGGGAGCCCGGAGAUGGGCACUGAGACAAGGGUCUAGGCCCUAAGGGGCGCAGCAGGCGCGAGGAUUCCGCAAUGCCCGAAAGGGCGACGGAGUGAACCCGAGUGCCACCCGCUGAGGGUGGCUGUUCCCCUGUGUAAAAAGCAGGGGGCAGGAAGGGGAGGGCAAGGCUGGUGGCAGCCGCCGCGGUAAAACCAGCUCCCCGAGGGGUUCCCACGCAUACUGGGCCUAAAGCGUCCGUAGCCGGCCCUGUAAGUCUGCAGUUAAAUCCGCCUGUAGACAGGCGGGUUGCUGCAGAUACUGCAGGGCUAGGGAGCGGGAGGAGCCGGGGGUAUUCCCGGGGGAGCGGUAAAAUGCGUAGAUCCCGGGAGGACCACCAGUGGCGAAGGCGCCCGGCUUGAACGCGUCCGACGGUGAGGGACGAAAGCUGGGGGAGCAAACCGGAUUAGAUACCCGGGUAGUCCCAGCCGUAAACGAUGCCGGCUAGGUGCUGGCCAAGGUUUCGGCCUUGGCCAGUGUCGAAGCGAAGGCAUUAAGCCGGCCGCCUGAGGAGUACGGCCGCAAGGCUGAAACUUGAAGGAAUUGACGGGGGGGCACCACAAGGGGUGAAUGCCUGCGGCUUAAUUGGACUCAACGCCGGGAAUCUUACCGGGGGCGACAGCAGGACGAAGGUCAGGCUGAAGACCUUACCAGACGCGCUGAGGGGUGGUGCAUGGCCGUCGCCAGCUCGUGCCGUGAGGUGUCCUGUUAAGUCAGGCAACGAGCGAGACCCCCGCCCCUAGUUGCCAGCGGCCUCCUUCGGGAGGGACCGGGCAAACUAGGGGGACCGCCUCCGAAGAGGAGGAGGAAGGUGGGGGCUACGGCAGGUCAGUAUGCCCCUAAUCCCCCGGGCCGCACGCGGGCUGCAAUGGGCGGGACAGCGGGAUG
rnacentral:rRNA from 1 species